AUUGCGCCCCGAUAACGAAAUGUCUCCCUUCCUAAAAUCCCCCACAGACUCCAGCGACGUCCUUCUGCCUUUAUUUUGAACGACAUAAUCUUUUUAUUCCUGGACCAGGGAUAUUUGCAUGCUCCUGCCUAUGUGGGCAGGAGAGACACUGACCUUUGACAAACCUUUGUUUUGUUUUGUUUUUUAAGAUCAGAUGGAACAGCUAUUGCAGUAUUCCAGCCCUGUAAGAUGGAGAGAGAGAGAGAGAGAGGGAGGGAGAGAGAGAGAUUCCAUCGUCUGUAAUCAGACACGGUGUGGCCCUUCUAACCCACUGACAACCUUCUGAAUCCUGCGAGCUGGUUGGAGGCGUGGCGUCCUCCUGCUUUCCUCUUGAGAGCACAGAGAAAAUUCGGGACUGGGAGAAAGCGUGCUUCCUGUCUGUUGCUCUUUGGCGAGAGCUUGGAUUCCAUGCGUUGAGUCAAAAGCACCAAGGGCCCCAGGGAGGCGGGAAGAGGCGAGAGGCGGAGGGAGGGAGGGAGCGAGGGCACAGGGUGUGGUCAGGUCGGCCUCCCAGGAGGCAGUCUGGGCAGGAGCCCCUGUGUGUCCCCCGAGACAGGCUCCCUUCCCGUUCCGACCUGCCCGCUGUCUGUCAGGGCCCGGGGAAUGAGCCCCACCAGGGCUGAGUGCCCCCAGGACGCGGGGCCGGCUGGCAAUCCAUCACUGGCAGAGCACACCUGGUCUGCCCAAAGGAGACAGCAGUUUCACUACAAUGUCCGUACAUGUGGCCCCCUGUGUGUGGGGAAAUUAGUUACACGAAGCAAUUCAAAGAUGGCGCCCAGAGGAAGCAAGCUCGGUCGCUCCCGAGAGCCUGCUGUGGAUCGGCCGUCUUGGCGAGUCCGAUGCCUCUUUGCACGCCCCGCGCGCCCUUUAGACGCCCAUGCGUUGCUGUUUACAGGACACACUGCACUGACCUUGUGCAGAUCUUUGUUGUUCUUAUCCACGGCCUCUCAUGAUCCUCGCCUCCUCCUGUCUGUGAUCUACCCGGUUUGCCUGCUUGUUAAAUACCUUGAACACAUCACGGCAGGGAGCAAGCCUUUGUCAACAACGGCAACUUCAAACCCGCAUCCGUCCUAAACUAAGCCAGAAUAUUUAUAUCUUUAUAUCCCUCCACUCCUAGUUGCCACGAGAGCCUCACCCAGAGCAAAGGGAGAUAAGAAAGCGCGAACAACCCCACAUUCGCCCCCUACAUCCUGCGCCCUGGGCAGGGCUUGUGGGGAUCAGGGCCGGGGAGAUUUGAAUGGUUAAAAAAAAAUCCCUUUAACGAUUGAGCAAUUUUCUUUUGGAUAAUGGUUCAUUCCGUUUUAUAGGAUGAUUUCCCCAAGCCUAUAUUUUGUGGAUAUUUUGCUAAUGUGCCAACCCACAGCUGCAAAGAUGGGCAUGGCUUUUUCCGCACCCCCUGAGCCGUGAGUUCAUGCUGGGCCCCCAGCGAGCCGGGCUGUCUCCUCUUAUUUCUGAGAGAGGCAGGUGCAGGCCGGACAGUUGGGGGAGUGCUAUCUGCUGUUCUAGUGUCCAUUUGCACGUCCACCCACUUGCCUUAUGCACCCGUCACUGCUGAACUGAGUUUAAUUUAGCCGCUUUCUCCCCACGGACCCUCAACGGAGAACCUGGUUUUGUGCACAGGCAAUGGGAGCCUGAACAGGAUCCAAGCUCCGACUCUACACCAAGUGGAGGAGAGAAGGCUGAGCAGGGGGGAUCUGGCUGCAGAAGGUUGAGUGGGUCGCUUCCCAGUUCCAUCCUGUGUGCAGAACCCACCGACAAAUCACCAUGUCUGUUGAUACGCAGAGUGGUGGGAGGCCGGGGUCAGUCGCCAACCCUCCCUCGCACUCCCUGCCGUAUCAGUGGCAGGCAUUACUAAUCGAUCCCAACCGUCUUUCCACCUGAGCCAGGGGCAGCCACCCCCAGUCCGUGGGAGUGGGCACAAGAAAGCAGGUGUGGGUGUUGGUUGGAGCCUGGUGGUUGGGAAGCCCUGGGGGGGAUAUGGGGGGAAGUCAGGGGUCGUGCUGACCCUGGGCCACAAGCACAGGCAAGGCUCUGUUACGUGAGGGGAUGGAGGGAAGGCUCCACGCCCUUUCUGGCUCUGACACAGGUGCCGCCAACAGUCCAUCUUACUGGGGAUGGUUUUUAAGUCACGAUGACAGAGGACCUAUGUGUGUUGGGUGCUUUGCUGGUGGUGGGGCUGUGAAAUCUGACACAGGCGUUGGGAAGGAGCUGGGCUGCUGUGCGACCACACUCCCGGCAGCCGCAGUGUGGGAGAUAAACAGCAGAGGUUUGGGGAUCAGGGGAAGAGGUCAACUUUGGGAAGGCCGGAGGGCUUCCUGGAGGAGCUGUUUCAUCAUCUGAGCCCGAGGCGGGAAAAGGAAUUGAACGAGCAGCGAAGCCCCUGCAGCCUCGACUGUUUCCUCCGCAGAGUGGGGGCGACAGCAGCCCUCAGCACCCCGGCACAAGACAGUGGCUGGGAGCGCGCCUACAAAUCCCUAGUUUGCCCGAGAAGCCUUCGUCGCGCACCUACUACG